rnacentral:rRNA from 1 species
GCAGAGCAUCCUACGGGAGGCAGCAGUGGGGAAUAUUGCACAAUGGGCGCAAGCCUGAUGCAGCCAUGCCGCGUGUAUGAAGAAGGCCUUCGGGUUGUAAAGUACUUUCAGCAGUGAGGAAGGUGGGUAUGUUAAUAGCAUACUCAUUUGACGUUAGCUGCAGAAGAAGCACCGGCUAACUCCGUGCCAGCAGCCGCGGUAAUACGGAGGGUGCGAGCGUUAAUCGGAAUUACUGGGCGUAAAGCGCAUGCAGGUGGUUUGUUAAGUCAGAUGUGAAAGCCCGGGGCUCAACCUCGGAAUUGCAUUUGAAACUGGCAAACUAGAGUACUGUAGAGGGGGUAGAAUUUCAGGUGUAGCGGUGAAAAUGCGUAGAGAUCUGAAGGAAUACCGGUGGCGAAGGCGGCCCCCUGGACAGAUACUGACACUCAGAUGCGAAAGCGUGGGGAACAAACAGGAUUAGAUACCCUGGUAG